rnacentral:lncRNA from 1 species
CAGGUUAUGUACAAAGCCUUCCCGCAAAAGCUGACUAAUGCUGCUAGGGAUUGGUUCUCGACAUUGGAGCCCAACUCCAUAGCCUCAUUCUCAGAUUUGGCUAAUAAUUUCUCAGCCUUCUUUGCAAGUAGCAAGCGAAUCAGAAAGACUGCAGCCUCUCUCAUGCAACUUCGCCAGGGACCAAAUGAAACCCUACGAGGAUUUAUGACGAGGUUUAACAAAGAAAGGCUUCAAAUACUCGACCUGCACAUCACAGCAGUUGUCUCUGCCCUCACUUACGCCAUAAGAUGUGAAGCUUUCAAGAUGUCCUUAUCAAAGACCCCACCGUAGACAGUGACCGAGCUCCUUACC